CUGAAACGACCUGCCGCAGGACCCAGAGUUAGCUUUCAAUAUUUGAAUCACGAAGCGCCGCUCUGUAAAAUCCAACCUUCCUGGAAUGAAAACCAAAGUUGUCAGUGGAGAAGGAUGGAUGUUCGCCACAUCUGCAAUGGAUCAUCGACUCUUAACCUUGUCAGCAAGUUUCCUGGUAAAAUCAGCCCUGGUUUUCUUCCUGGGAGAGAGCACAGUGCUAAGAACUGGGGAUCCAGAGUGAGGCCAAACUGGAUGUCUGAUGAAAUGUCACUAACUUGGAGAUGCCCCAUCUGACCCCUGCUGUCUGCCUGUCACUCUAUCAGUUUUCCUUCUUAGCCAUGGGCAGACAUAUGUUCUCCCUAGUGUCACCACGUGGUAUUAUGUUAUGCAUUUGAUUUAUGUGUUUAUCUUCCAUCUCCAUUAAUGUAAAUUCCAUGAAGAAAAAAG